CCAGACUCCUACGGGAGGCAGCAGUAGGGAAUCUUGCACAAUGGGGGAAACCCUGAUGCAGCGACGCCGCGUGAGCGAUGAAGCCCUUCGGGGUGUAAAGCUCUUUCGGCAGGGAAGAUGGUGACGGUACCUGCAGAAGCAGCUGCGGCUAACUACGUGCCAGCAGCCGCGGUAAUACGUAGGCAGCAAGCGUUGUUCGGAGUUACUGGGCGUAAAGGGUGUGUAGGCGGUUGUUUAAGUUUGGUGUGAAAUCUCCCGGCUCAACUGGGAGGGUGCGCCGAAUACUGAAUGACUAGAGUGCGGGAGAGGAAAGUGGAAUUCCUGGUGUAGCGGUGAAAUGCGUAGAUAUCAGGAGGAACACCGGUGGUGUAGACGGCUUUCUGGACCGUAACUGACGCUGAGACACGAAAGCGUGGGUAGCAAACAGGAUUAGAUACCCUGGUAGUCCACGCCGUAAACGAUG
rnacentral:rRNA from 1 species